CGCGUAGGCGGUUGGGUUAGUCGGAUGUGAAAGCCCCGGGCUUAACCUGGGAAUUGCAUUCGAUACUGCCCGGCUAGAGUAUGGGAGAGGGAAGCGGAAUUUCCGGUGUAGCGGUGAAAUGCGUAGAUAUCGGAAGGAACACCAGUGGCGAAGGCGGCUUCCUGGCCCAAUACUGACGCUGAGGUGCGAAAGCGUGGGGAGCGAACA
rnacentral:rRNA from 1 species